UACGGGGGGAGCAAGCGUUGUUCGGAUUUACUGGGCGUAAAGGGCGCGUAGGCGGCCUCUGCAAGUCGACUGUGAAAUCUCCGGGCUUAACCCGGAACGGUCAGCCGAUACUGCAGGGCUAGAGUGCAGAAGGGGCAACUGGAAUUCUCGGUGUAGCGGUGAAAUGCGUAGAUAUCGAGAGGAACACCUGCGGCGAAGGCGAGUUCCUGGACACAUAUUGACGCUGAGGUGCGAAAGCGUGGGGAGCAAACAGG
rnacentral:rRNA from 1 species